CAGUCGCCGCGGUAAUACGAAGGGUGCAAGCGUUAAUCGGAAUUACUGGGCGUAAAGCGUGCGUAGGCGGUGAGUUAAGUCUGCUGUGAAAUCCCCGGGCUCAACCCGGGAAUGGCAGUGGAUACUGGCUCGCUAGAGUGUGUCAGAGGAUGGUGGAAUUCCCGGUGUAGCGGUGAAAUGCGUAGAGAUCGGGAGGAACAUCAGUGGCGAAGGCGGCCAUCUGGGACAACACUGACGCUGAGGCACGAAAGCGUGGGGAGCAAACAGGAUUAGAUACCCCCGUAGUCCCUGUCUCUUAUAC
rnacentral:rRNA from 1 species